AACAACAUGUGGUGAUCCCACAUGAAUACAAAAUAUCUUUUAAAAUGUGUGAAGAGACUAAAUUGCUGUACGAGUAGUCUAUAAAAAUUUAUCUCUAAAAUGAUAUGUCUUGACUAUGAGAAAACCUUUUUCGAACUUGCCCUUACAAAUAGCGGGAUGACAGCCUUUUUUUAUUUGAGAACGAGUCUAAGCAUGUAUUUUGUUAAGAGGAGAAGAAGAGUAUACAAAAUAGUGCCAAGGCGCCAACCAGAAUUCUGAAAGAUUGGCAUGAAUAUUAGUGGUGCAUGAACUAAAAAAAAAUUCGGCAAUAAAUGAUAGCCUCCGGAGAUCCAAACUCUACCCCUCAUCUUGAAUUUUUCAAUGUUAAUUUUUCUUAGGUCCAAAUUUGACUGUUCCUCUCCUUCCCUAUCAUCCACGAGAUGAGAAUGACUACGGAGUCAAAAACAUCCGAUAGUUGCUCUUUUUUGAUUGGUUUCUUUGCUGACAGCACCAAUACGAGAACAAGGACAGACUCCGAAUGCAUUCUGAGGGCACACUCUACUUGAUCAAAAAAAAAAAAGCACACAUAUAUGGUGAAGAUUUGCAGCC
rnacentral:lncRNA from 1 species